GGGUGGAAAACCCAUAGGCGUAAUAAAAGUAAAGGCUGUUUCGGACAGCUAAGGUACGAUCCUUGUAUCCGAGCGAUAUUUGGCGCAGUACCGUCCCGUCCCGACCGCAUAUCGGUAGGGCGGAGAUAGAGUGCAUACGUUGGGACCCGAAAGAUGGUGAACUAUGCCUGAGCAGAGCGAAGCCAGAGGAAACUCUGGUGGAGGUUCGUAGCGGUUCUGACGUGCAAAUCGAUCGUCAGACUUGGGUAUAGGGGCGAAAGACUAAUCGAACCAUC
rnacentral:rRNA from 1 species